UAGGGAAUCUUCCACAAUGGACGCAAGUCUGAUGGAGCAACGCCGCGUGAGUGAAGAAGGCUUUCGGGUCGUAAAACUCUGUUAUUGAAGAAGAACGUGUGUGACAGUAACUGGUCAUGCAGUGACGGUAUUCAAUCAGAAAGUCACGGCUAACUACGUGCCAGCAGCCGCGGUAAUACGUAGGUGGCAAGCGUUGUCCGGAUUUAUUGGGCGUAAAGCGAGUGCAGGCGGUCUUUUAAGUCUGAUGUGAAAGCCUUCGGCUUAACCGAAGAAGGGCAUCGGAAACUGGGAGACUUGAGUGCAGAAGAGGAGAGUGGAACUCCAUGUGUAGCGGUGAAAUGCGUAGAUAUAUGGAAGAACACCAGUGGCGAAGGCGGCUCUCUGGUCUGUAACUGACGCUGAGGCUCGAAAGCGUGGGUAGCAAAACAGGAUUAG
rnacentral:rRNA from 1 species